AGCAUAUCAAUAAGCGGAGGAAAAGAAACCAACAGGGAUUGCCCCAGUAACGGCGAGUGAAGCGGCAACAGCUCAAAUUUGAAAUCUGGCCCUCGGGUCCGAGUUGUAAUUUGUAGAGGAUGCUUUUGGCGAGGUGCCUUCCGAGUUCCCUGGAACGGGACGCCAUAGAGGGUGAGAGCCCCGUCUGGUCGGACACCGAGCCUCUGUAAAGCUCCUUCGACGAGUCGAGUAGUUUGGGAAUGCUGCUCAAAAUGGGAGGUAUAUGUCUUCUAAAGCUAAAUAUUGGCCAGAGACCGAUAGCGCACAAGUAGAGUGAUCGAAAGAUGAAAAGCACUUUGAAAAGAGGGUUAAAAAGUACGUGAAAUUGUUGAAAGGGAAGCGCCUAUGACCAGACUUGAGCCCGGUGAAUCAUCCAGCGUUCUCGCUGGUGCACUUUGCCGGGCCCAGGCCAGCAUCAGUUUGGCGCGGGGGAUAAAGGUGACGGGAAUGUGGCUCCCUCGGGAGUGUUAUAGCCCGCUACGUAAUACCCUGCGCCGGACUGAGGUACGCGCAUUGCAAGGAUGCUGGCGUAAUGGUCAUCAGCGACCCGUCUUGAA
rnacentral:rRNA from 1 species